UACGUAGGGAGCAAGCGUUGUCCGGAUUUACUGGGUGUAAAGGGAGCGUAGACGGUGAUGCAAGUCAGAAGUGAAAGCCCGGGGCUCAACUCCGGGACUGCUUUUGAAACUGUGUGACUGGAGUGCUGGAGAGGCAAGCGGAAUUCCUAGUGUAGCGGUGAAAUGCGUAGAUAUUAGGAAGAACACCAGUGGCGAAGGCGGCUUGCUGGACAGUAACUGACGUUGAGGCUCGAAAGCGUGGGGAGCAAACAGG
rnacentral:rRNA from 1 species